AACGAACGCUGGCGGCGUGGAUUAGGCAUGCAAGUCGUACGCGAAAGAGGGGGCAACCCCUUGUAGUAGAGUGGCGAACGGGUGAGUAACGCGUGAGGAACCUGCCUUCGACAGGGGGAUAACACUCCCAACGGGGUGCUAAUACCGCAUGAGACCACGGGGCUGCAUGGCCCUGAGGUCAAAGAUGGCCUCUAUUUAUAAGCUAUCGGUCGAAGAUGGCCUCGCGUCCCAUUAGCUAGUUGGCGGUGUAAAAGACCACCAAGGCGACGAU
rnacentral:rRNA from 1 species